rnacentral:lncRNA from 1 species
GUUUGAACCUUCAACGUGCGUGGGUCAAAUGAUUGUUCAGGAAGUCUGUAUGAUGACGAAAAAACUGCAGGUGACUAGAAGCUGCCGAUGAGCUGCCAGUCCGGAUGGCAGCUAUCAACACGGCAAGGACCUGCAGGCGCAUCAGCUCUCCUCCCGUUCCUCUACUGCCAUUGGAGACAGGAUGCUUUGUAAAAGUGGGAGCUCAGGAAGGUGGCACUGUGCACAGAGGGACAGAGUGGCUGACAGUGAGCUGCCCAAGACAACCUGCUGGCUCUCGAGACCAUCUCCGAAAGCCUCUGGAUGGGCUAAUUGACAGGCGUGCCUGGACAUUUAUAAACGGCUGCUCUUAUAUGCACCAUGAAGAUAUCGAAGAGGUCUCCAAUUGAAGGACAA